rnacentral:tRNA from 1 species
GGGCGCUUAGCUCAGUUGGUAGAGCGCUGCUUUCACAGAGCAGAAGUCACAGGUUCGAGUCCUGUAGCGCCCA